rnacentral:rRNA from 1 species
UACGAAGGGUGCAAACGUUGCUCGGAAUUAUUGGGCGUAAAGCGCUCGCAGGCGGUUUCUUAAGUCUGAUGUGAAAGCCCACGGCUCAACCGUGGAGGGUCAUUGGAAACUGGGAGACUUGAGUGCAGAAGAGGAGAGUGGAAUUCCACGUGUAGCGGUGAAAUGCGUAGAGAUGUGGAGGAACACCAGUGGCGAAGGCGACUCUCUGGUCUGUAACUGACGCUGAGGAGCGAAAGCGUGGGGAGCAAACAGG